rnacentral:rRNA from 1 species
CCGCGUGUGUGAAGAAGGCCUUCGGGUUGUAAAGCACUUUCAGCGAGGAGGAAAGCUUAAGCGUUAAUAGCGUUUAGGUGUGACGUUACUCGCAGAAGAAGGACCGGCUAACUUCGUGCCAGCAGCCGCGGUAAUACGAGGGGUCCAAGCGUUAAUCGGAAUUACUGGGCGUAAAGCGUACGCAGGCGGUUUGUUAAGCGAGAUGUGAAAGCCCCGGGCUCAACCUGGGAACUGCAUUUCGAACUGGCAAACUAGAGUCUUGUAGAGGGGGGUAGAAUUUCAGGUGUAGCGGUGAAAUGCGUAGAGAUCUGAAGGAAUACCGGUGGCGAAGGCGGCCCCCUGGACAAAGACUGACGCUCAUGUACGAAAGCGUGGGGAGCAAACAGGAUUAGAUACCCUGGUAGUCCACGCCGUAAACGAUGUCUACUCGGAAUUUGGUGUCUUGAACACUGGGUUCUCAAGCUAACGCAUUAAGUAGACCGCCUGGGGAGUACGGCCGCAAGUUAAAACUCAAAUGAAUUGACGG